GAGGGUGUAGCUCAGUGGUAGAGCACAUGUCUUGUGUGCACAAGGUCCUGGGUUCAGGCCCCAGUACCUCCA
rfam:Camelus ferus unplaced genomic scaffold scaffold709, whole genome shotgun sequence.